rnacentral:lncRNA from 1 species
GCCCACACCCAUUGGGUUCGGGUUUUUUCCACCCAAACCCACAACACAUUUAAAAAUAAUUUGCAAAUUUAAGAAAUUAAAUUCCAACAUAGACUUUGAAUUAAAUUACAAUUAAAAUUAAGGUCUUCCAAAGAAAUUCAAACAUAGACUUUCAAGAAAUUACAACAUAUACUUUCAAGAAAUUAAAUUACAACUAAAAUUUAAGGUCUUCCAAGGAAAUUGAGUGAGACUAUGGGGGUAAUU